GAUGAACGCUGGCGGCGUGCUUAACACAUGCAAGUCGAACGGAAAGACCAAAGCUUGCUUGGGUACUCGAGUGGCGCACGGGGGAGUAAAACGUGUGGGAUCUGCACCGCACUUCGGGAUAAGCCUGGGAAACUGGGUCUAAUAUCGGAGAGGACAGUGGUUUGGAUGCCAUUGUGGAAUGUUUUUCCGGUGUGGGGUUAGCUCGCGACCUAUCAGCUUGUUGGUGGGGUAAUGGCCUACCAAGGCGUCGACGGGUAGACGGCCUGAGAGGGUGUACGGCCGCACUGGGUCCUAGAUGCGGCCCCGGUUCGGACGGGAGGCAGCAGGGGGGAAGAUUGACCGAUCGGCGCCAGCCGGAUGCAGCGACGCCGCGUAUCGGAUGACGGUCUUAGGGUUGUAAACCACUUUUGCUAGUGACGAAGCGUUAUGUGACGGUACCUAGAGAAGAAGCCCCGGCUAACUACGUG
rnacentral:rRNA from 1 species